UACGAAGGGGGCUAGCGUUGUUCGGAAUUACUGGGCGUAAAGCGCACGUAGGCGGAUUGUUAAGUCGGGGGUGAAAUCCCAGGGCUCAACCCUGGAACUGCCUCCGAUACUGGCAUUCUUGAGUCCGAGAGAGGUGAGUGGAAUUCCGAGUGUAGAGGUGAAAUUCGUAGAUAUUCGGAAGAACACCAGUGGCGAAGGCGGCUCACUGGCUCGGAACUGACGCUGAGGUGCGAAAGCGUGGGGAGCAAACAGG
rnacentral:rRNA from 1 species